UACAGAGGUCCCAAGCGUUGUUCGGAUUCACUGGGCGUAAAGGGUGCGUAGGUGGUGAGGUAAGUCGGAUGUGAAAGCUCGGAGCUCAACUCCGAAAUGGCAUUGGAAACUACCUCGCUCGAGGGUUGGAGGGGGGACUGGAAUACUUGGUGUAGCAGUAAAAUGCGUAGAUAUCAAGUGGAACACCAGUGGCGAAGGCGGGUUGCUGGGCUGACACUGACGCUGAUGCGCGAAAGCCAGGGGAGCGAACGGG
rnacentral:rRNA from 1 species